rnacentral:rRNA from 1 species
UAGUGAUAUAGAGCAAAACCCUAAAAACGGUCUCAGUUCGGAUUGAAGGCUGAAAUUCGCCUUCAUGAAGCUGGAAUUGCUAGUAAUGGCAGGUCAGCAUACUGCCGUGAAUACGUUCCCGGGCCUUGUACACACCGCCCGUCACACCAUGAGAGUUGGGAAUACCCGAAGCCUGUGAGCUAACAUAUGAGGCAGCAGUCGAAGGUAGAAUCAAUGAUUGGGGUGAAGUCGUAACAAGGUAUC